AGCUGCUACUGUCGGGAGGUGCUGUAAGUCCGCAUAGUUUAAUUACUGAUGAGCGGCAGGCCCUCUGUCUGGACCCUUGUCUUUUGCGCACUCAUGUUUCCUCGGUGGGCUUGCCCGCCGAUUGGACAAAACUAUAACCUUUUUAAUUUUCAAUCAGCGUCUGAAAAAACUUAAUAAUUACAACUUUCAACAACGGAUCUCUUGGUUCUGGCAUCGAUGAAGAACGCAGCGAAAUGCGAUAAGUAGUGUGAAUUGCAGAAUUCAGUGAAUCAUCGAAUCUUUGAACGCACAUUGCGCCCCUUGGUAUUCCAUGGGGCAUGCCUGUUCGAGCGUCAUUUGUACCCUCAAGCUCUGCUUGGUGUUGGGUGUUUGUCCUCUCCUUUGCGUUUGGACUCGCCUUAAAGCAAUUGGCAGCCAGUGUUUUGGUAUUGAAGCGCAGCACAUUUUGCGAUUCUAGCCGAUAAUACUUGCGUCCAUAAGCCUUUUUUAACUU
rnacentral:misc_RNA from 1 species